rnacentral:rRNA from 1 species
AUGGCGGAGAACCUGGGCGUGAGGGGCCACACGUACAUGACGAGGUUGGCCACGUCACAGGCAGUGAGGAUGAACUACUACCCGCCUUGCCCGGAGGCGCAGGUGGACAGGGUGCUGGGCCUGUCGCCGCACUCGAACGCCGUCGCGCUAACCCUGCUGCUGCAGGUUAGCCCGGUCCACGGGCUGCAGAUCAGGAGGAACGGCGGGUGGGUCCCGGUCAUGCCGCUCCCCGGCGCCCUUGUCGUCAACGUCGGCGAUGUGGUUGAGGUGCUGACCAACGGGAGGUACAAGAGCGUCGAGCAUAGGGCGGUGGUGAACGCAUGCGAGCAGCGGAUGUCCAUCGCGGCGUUCCACAGUGCGAAGUUCGGUGGCAUGUACGGAACGCUGAAAGAGGUCGUCGGAGACAACGAGGCCCGGUACAGGACUGUCAGCGUCGAGGAGUACACCAAGCUUAUGCUCUCCAGCAAGCUCGACGGCAAGAACAUCAUAGACGCAAUGAAGAUCAAUUGA